AGCGAACGCUGGCGGCAGGCUUAACACAUGCAAGUCGAGCGGGCAUCUUCGGAUGUCAGCGGCAGACGGGUGAGUAACACGUGGGAACGUACCCUUCGGUUCGGAACAACUCUGGGAAACUGGAGCUAAUACCGGAUACGCCCUUAUGGGGAAAGGUUUACUGCCGAAGGAUCGGCCCGCGUCUGAUUAGCUAGUUGGUGGGGUAACGGCCUACCAAGGCGACGAUCAGUAGCUGGUCUGAGAGGAUGAUCAGCCACACUGGGACUGAGACACGGCCCAGACUCCUACGGGAGGCAGCAGUGGGGAAUAUUAGACAAUGGGCGCAAGCCUGAUCCAGCCAUGCCGCGUGAGUGAUGAAGGCCUUAGGGUUGUAAAGCUCUUUUGUCCGGGACGAUAAUGACGGUACCGGAAGAAUAAGCCCCGGCUAACUUCGU
rnacentral:rRNA from 1 species